UAACAGAAGAUACAGUGUUUGGGGCUAGAG
rnacentral:piRNA from 1 species